UUCUUUGAUCUUCUACUUCUACUCUUCAAUGAUUUGGCUCUAAAAAGUUAUGAAUUGGGUUGUUGUUAUUGAUGUUGACUUUUGUGAUUAUGAGAGUAAUGUAGAAUGUAGGAUGUUUAACUCAACUGAUAAAAAGCUUCAAUGUGAAUCUUGCUCCAAUGUGAAGCUUGCUCCAAUGGUGAAAGAGCUUUAGUUUAGGGAUAGGAAUUGGAAAAGAUGAAGUAAGAGGGUGAAAGUUGAAUUUGUAAU
rnacentral:lncRNA from 1 species